AUCACAAAUGCAUGCAACCACAACCAACAAGGGCCAAGGUCAUAAAUCAAAAAGGCAUCAUUUAUCCAGGAGAAACGCCAAGGGGGCGGCUUACGCCCCAUGCUCUUCAGCAUGUUUGCACGUUGCAGUGCUUUUUCAAUGAGUGGUGUCAUCACAGGACGUGGCAGAACUGUGUCUGUGUCAGGGAUGGCCACCUUCGCGCAACACUCAAGCACCCAGCCAUGCAUCACCAGGAGCCACCGGUGUGACCCCCUGCAGGCCACAAGGCCCUUGCAUCGCUCCCAGAUGCUUCAGCACCUGUGAGAGGAACCGGGAAGCCAUCGAGUCCCCUCCUCUCUCCCUGUCUUCAGAUGGAACCACACAUGAGCCACCCAGACAGAUGGCAUGGUACACGUAUGUCUUAGCCUUUCCAACCCUCACAUAUCUGCAGAGAGCAUCGUGGAAAUCUGCAACCAAGAUACAGAGGGGACAAUCGUUCUGAAUACAGAGGCAGAGGCUCCAGGAGCUCCAGAGGUGGGUACACAGAGGACUGCGCAGAGCCAGGAUCCCAGCAAGGGACAGCACACUGCCCACUGGCGAUGGGUAGCUCACCUUUAGUGAGGCGCUCCCAUGAGCUGGGUACUGUGCAGGUGCUGAAGUUCUGUGCCGUGUUGACCAAAAGCAUUUGACAACAGCAUGGACUCCUGGCCCAAAAAUGGCUUUCAAGAACUGUGUGUGUCAGUGCUACAUUCACCUACAUCCAUGCAAAUAGGUUGAGUGGUGCCAUCGCCAGACAUCUGGUUCUAAAUGGGACCUUCACGUGCCCUCUAUGAUCUUCCCAGGAAAUGCAGAGUGAUUCGCCAUGUGUGUGCUUCACAGGACGUGAGAGAGUAAGCUUGCCAUUUUUUCUAGCAUUCGCUUUUAGAUCUGCUGACUAGACUCAGCAGAUUCCAGGGAGAGUGGUGGGAGAAAAGCAGGGAAGAGGGACACGAAAUAGAAGAGGGGUGGCAGGGGCACUUGAUUAAUGUUGCAAUUUAUCAAAAGAUAAAGUGUGGGAGAGGCAUUUUACAAUUUAUCAUAACAUGAGCUCAAGGACUUCAUUUUAAAAAAAGUUUGCCAUCUCAUUUAAUUAUCAUUAAACACACUCUAAAGGAAUCCCACCAUUCCCAUUUUACAGCUAAAGAAACAGACAUUCAGAGACUCUAAGUUUCGACGGCUAAGGUGUGACUUCUAGAUAAAGCUGAUUCCAAUGCUAGCAUUCCUUGUACAUACAAAGCUGAUCUUUAUGAGUGUUAACUAUAAGCAAGGUUACCAUGCUAAAUAUUUUAAUUCAAUCUUUCAGUUGCCUUGUGAAAUAUGCAGUAUCCUAACUUCCAUUUUUCUGACAAGGAAAUCAAGGUGUGGAGAGUAGCAGGUAACUUGCCCAAGGUUAACUUGCCCAUGAUAAGCAGAAGUACCCGGAUGCAGACUAAUGCCAGGGCCAUCAUCUCCCCACACCACCUGUGUUUAUCACUCAGCAUGUGACUCCAGGCUCAACCUAGCACCUCAAUGACUGAGUCUAUCCCCAGGAACCUUCAGGAUGAUGGACUGGGCUCAGGGUACCAUAGGAGUUCUAGGUAUGGCGGGCAUCUUGCAAAAUCCCCUUUCUACCCUCCUGAACAGUGCAUCCCAUUGGGAGGGAUGCUUCCUCGGCUCAGUCUUUGCUCAGUGUCCAUGCAGAAGUGGGCCAUGGUCUUUAUCAUGGCUGACCUCCUGGUUGCAGAGUUAUAGGGCCACAUUUGCCUCUGUUCCUGGCAGCUCCUUGGAGCACCCCCAUAUCUCAGCAACCCAUCUGAUUGGGUCAGGAAGAAACUUUCUCCCCAGCCUCUCUGGGAGACACUAUCUCAACUUCCUACAUCCAAGUGGCCAGUUCUGGGCUCUCCGUGGAGAAACCGGAGAACUGGGAGAACCAGGCUGGGCCCCCUGAGAAGAAGACAGAGGGAGGUUUCCCCAGAGCACUCUUCCCCCAUCGCUCACCCCCCACCCUUGCUAAGAUGGCUCCCAGGUCCUUUGCCGCCGUGCCAGACAGCCAACUUCCUGUUCUCCAAGGAUUCCGUGAGUUAACACCACCAGCCUCUCUUCCAUUCCUGAAAGGGGACCCUGAUUUUCACAGCCUGGUGCUGUAUUUAUGUUCCUUUGAAGCCAGAUUGUGAGCCGGUGUUUUUCCAGAUAAAGGUAUUUAAUUUCCUUGGAGUUCACCGGCCACCUUUCUGUCUGGCGAUGGUUCUGCAAAGCCUCCGGUAAUCCAAUCUCCUUGAAUUGGGAUGCCGGCCUCCACGGACUGGCUAGCGAUAUUUCUUUUUAUAGGAGCUGAGUGAGAAAAUAAAUAAAUAAAAUAAGAGCUUUUGAAGAGGAAAGACUGAAGAAAAUGAAACAGCCUGGCACGAAGCGUGCUCUCUUUUGUAACCUGCAGUCUUCCGCGUGAUCUGCCAUUUCGUUUUCCAGCGUGCAGGAAGGUGGAUGUUACUACGAUAUACUUACUUAGGGAAAGUAAGGGGGAGAGGAAGUGAAGGGGCGAGGCUGUGGCCCUGGCCAGAGCCAUCAAAGGACUUGGCAAAAAGGCUCAGGGUGGGUGGCAUCACCCCAGUGUUAGAAUUCUCUAGCAUCUGAUAGUGAUGUUGGAACUGUAAUAUUGGGUUAGAAGGAGGGUGAGCACCGGUUCCUUUUCUUUGCGAUGUCUCCCAUUUUGAUAGGAUAAAAAAGUAGACCAGGAUUAUGUUAGGCACCCUGGCGUUGUCUGGUAUGUUCUAAUCGGAACCAAAUUGCCUAGAGCUAUACUGUCUCUCAGAGACCUCUGGAAAGGACCCCCUCAUUGUCCACUUCACCUCCAGCACUCUCUGCUUGUUCCCUCUUCCUCUUGUUCCUUUAGGCACACGUGACAGCCAACUGCUGCGAAUUCCAAGAAGAAAGCUCACGCAGGAGCUGCUGUGGAAAGACCAAUUAAAACCAUUGUCCUGAGUCCCACUGGAGACACAAGGGAGAUGAUGCUCCUGCGCCUCCAAUCCCAGCGACCACUUGAAGGAAGGGCUCUUUCGGGUCCUGCUGGCCCUGUCUGCCUGAGUCUCUUGAGCACACAGCAGUCUGACGGCUGAUUAAUCACAGAGACCCAGCAGUGCUGCUUCCCAUCUCAGGCUGGCAUGUCUUGCUUGGCUUGAGGAAGGUCACGUGCAUUUGGCCCAAAAGCCUUUCGGCCUCCCGGUAAGGUUUGCCUGGGCUCCAGCCAUGGCAGAGAUGGGGUCACCACGUUAAACUGGCAGUGGGUGCUAUGGCUGAGAUGGCAGCGGAAACCCUGGCUUCACCUGACAGCUUCACCCUGGGAUGUCGCCUCUUAUUAAAUAGCUCACCCACGGCUCCAGGGCACACGUGCAGACAGGCAAGUCGGCAGAGGCUGGCGCACGGCACCUGGGCAGGGUGACUGCUCCUGUUUCUUUCCCCUUUUCUUCUACUCCGUUCUCUUCUUCACACCAGGAAGCACCUGGUCCCCACGUGCAGGGCAGAGGCCUCCUGUUCACUCCUUGCCACCUGAUCCCCCUCUCUGACCCCCCUCUCCCUCUGUCAGAGUCCCUGUUGUCAGCUCAGUCUUCCCAAACCCCUGUGGAAUGGGGAAGAAUUUCCGAAGCUAACAAUUGCAAGCCUUAUAACUUCAUUGUCCUAUAAACAAACCUAAUUGCUGCCUCAAACUUCCAUUUCCACCCAUUUGUCAAAUACAUAGAGACUUUUCACUCAUUUCAGGUUUAAAUAAAGUGUUUUUCCCAUUC